rnacentral:rRNA from 1 species
AGUGAACGCUGGCGGCAUGCCUUACACAUGCAAGUCGAACGGCAGCGGACCUUCGGGUGCCGGCGAGUGGCGAACGGGUGAGUAAUGCAUCGGAACGUGCCAUUGAGUGGGGGAUAACGUAGCGAAAGUUGCGCUAAUACCGCAUAUUCUGUGAGCAGGAAAGCAGGGGACCGCAAGGCCUUGCGCUCUUUGAGCGGCCGAUGUCAGAUUAGCUAGUUGGUGAGGUAAAGGCUUACCAAGGCGACGAUCUGUAGCGGGUCUGAGAGGAUGAUCCGCCACACUGGAACUGAGACACGGUCCAGACUCCUACGGGAGGCAGCAGUGGGGAAUUUUGGACAAUGGGGGCAACCCUGAUCCAGCCAUGCCGCGUGAGUGAAGAAGGCCU